AGUUAUCUGAACCUUCGGGGAACGAUAACGGCGUCCAGCGGCGGACGGGUGAGUAAUGCCUAGGAAAUUGCCCUGAUGUGGGGGAUAACCAUUGGAAACGAUGGCUAAUACCGCAUGAUGCCUACGGGCCAAAGAGGGGGACCUUCGGGCCUCUCGCGUCAGGAUAUGCCUAGGUGGGAUUAGCUAGUUGGUGAGGUAAGGGCUCACCAAGGCGACGAUCCCUAGCUGGUCUGAGAGGAUGAUCAGCCACACUGGAACUGAGACACGGUCCAGACUCCUACGGGAGGCAGCAGUGGGGAAUAUUGCACAAUGGGCGCAAGCCUGAUGCAGCCAUGCCGCGUGUGUGAAGAAGGCCUUCGGGUUGUAAAGCACUUUCAGUCGUGAGGAAGGUGGUGUAGUUAAUAGCUGCAUUAUUUGACGUUAGCGACAGAAGAAGCACCGGCUAACUCCGUGCCAGCAGCCGCGGUAAUACGGAGGGUGCGAGCGUUAAUCGGAAUUACUGGGCGUAAAGCGCAUGCAGGUGGUUUGUUAAGUCAGAUGUGAAAGCCCGGGGCUCAACCUCGGAAUAGCAUUUGAAACUGGCAGACUAGAGUACUGUAGAGGGGGGUAGAAUUUCGGGUGUAGCGGUGAAAUGCGUAGAGAUCUGAAGGAAUACCGGUGGC
rnacentral:rRNA from 1 species